UACAGAGGGGGCAAGCGUUGUUCGGAAUUACUGGGCGUAAAGGGCGCGUAGGCGGCCUGUUAAGGCGGACGUGAAAUCCCCGGGCUCAACCCGGGAACUGCGUCGGAUACUGGCAGGCUUGAAUCCGGGAGAGGGAUGCGGAAUUCCAGGUGUAGCGGUGAAAUGCGUAGAUAUCUGGAGGAACACCGGUGGCGAAGGCGGCAUCCUGGACCGGUAUUGACGCUGAGGCGCGAAAGCCAGGGGAGCAAACGGG
rnacentral:rRNA from 1 species